CGAUUACUCCUACGGGAGGCAGCAGUGGGAAUUUUGGACAAUGGGGGAAACCCUGAUCCAGCCAUCCCGCGUGUGCGAUGAAGGCCUUCGGGUUGUAAAGCACUUUUGGCAGGAAAGAAACGUCGCGGGUUAAUACCUCGCGAAACUGACGGUACCUGCAGAAUAAGCACCGGCUAACUACGUGCCAGCAGCCGCGGUAAUACGUAGGGUGCAAGCGUUAAUCGGAAUUACUGGGCGUAAAGCGUGCGCAGGCGGUUCGGAAAGAAAGAUGUGAAAUCCCAGAGCUUAACUUUGGAACUGCAUUUUUAACUACCGGGCUAGAGUGUGUCAGAGGGAGGUGGAAUUCCGCGUGUAGCAGUGAAAUGCGUAGAUAUGCGGAGGAACACCGAUGGCGAAGGCAGCCUCCUGGGAUAACACUGACGCUCAUGCACGAAAGCGUGGGAGCAAACAGGAUUAGAUACCCUGGUAGUCCACGCCCUAAACGAUGUCAACUAGCUGUUGGGGCCUUCGGGCCUUGGUAGCGCAGCUAACGCGUGAAGUUGACCGCCUGGGGAGUACGGUCGCAAGAUUAAAACUCAAAGGAAUUGACGGA
rnacentral:rRNA from 1 species